UCUUCUUUUGUCACUGAAUCACUGCCCUCUUUCUGAAUGAAUGAAAAGAGUGAGGGACGUAAUGUGGAUAACCACCUGGAUCUCUUCUACUUUAUAUAGGACCUCCUGUAAGCCCUGGUCUAUACUAUGAGUUUAGGUCGAAUUUAGCAGCAUUAGAUCGAUUUAACCCUGUACCCAUCCACACAACAAAGCCAUUUUUGUCAACUUAAUGGGCUCUUAAAAUCGAUUUCUGUACUCCUCCCUGACGAGGGGAUUAGCACUGAAAUCGACAUCGCCGGAUUGAAUUUGGGUUAGUGUGGAUGUAAUUCGACGGUAUUGGCCUUCGGGAGCUACCCACAGUGCUCCAUUGUGACCGCUCUGGACAGCGCUGUCAACUUGGAUGCACUGGCCAGGUAGACCGGAAAUGCCCCACGAACUUUUGAAUUUCAUUUCCUGUUUGGUCAGUGUGGCGAGCUCAUCAGCAGAGGUGACCAUGGAGUCCCCGAAUAGCAAAAAAGCUCCAGCAUGGACCGAACAGGAGGUACUGGAUCUGAUCGCUAUAUGUGGAGACGAAUCCGUGCUAUCAGAACUCCGUUCCAAAAGACGAAAUGCCAAAAUAUUUGAAAAAAACUCCAAGGGCACGAAGGACAGAGGCUACCACAGGGACCCGCAGCAGUGCCGCGUGAAACUUAAGGAGCUUAGGCAAGCCUACCAAAAAACCCAAGAGGCAAAUGCCUGCUCAGGGUCAGAGCCCCAGACGUGCCGCUUCUAUGAUGAGCUGCAUGCAAUUCUAGGGGGUGCCCCUACAACUACCCCACAACUGUACGUGGACUCCUGCAAGGGGGGAGUCUCACGCAACAGGGAUGAGGAUUUUGGGGACGAGGUAGAUAGCGCACACCAGGCAAGCAGAGAAAUCGUUCUCUCCAACAGCCAGGAACUGUUUAUCACCCUGGAUCCAAUACCCUCCCAACCCGGGCAACUGGACCUUGAAGGAGGAGAAGACACCUCUGCUGCAAAUGUUUCAACGCUGCAACUAGCAUCUCCGUCCCAGAGGCUAGCGCAGAUAAGAAGGCGAAAAAAAUGCACUUGCGAUGAAAUGUUCUCUGAGCUCAUGCAGUCCACCGAAACUGAAAGAGCCCAGCAGAAAUGUGUGGAGGCAGAAAAUGGAAGAGUCCAGGAAAGCACAAAAUGAACACGAGGACAGAUGGCUGGAGCAACAGGAGAGGUGGCAGCAGUGUGAUGAAAGGAGGCCGGAUGCAAUGCUGAGACUACUGGAGGAUCAAACUGAUAUGCGCUGGCGUAUGAUUGAGGUGCAGGAAAGGCACAGACUGCCACUGCAGCCCCUGUGUAACCAACCGCCCUCCUCCCCAAGUUCCAUAGCCUUCUCACCCAGAUGCCCAAGAACGCGGGGGGGCCCUCGGGGCACCCAACCACUCCACCUCAGAGGACUGCCCAAGCAACAGAAGGCUGGUAUUCAGUGCAUACAUUCUUACAACUGCUCUACUGCCUUUGCUGGAAAAAGAAGAUGAUCCCAGAGUUCGGUGAGAUCAGCGAUGCCAGAAUUCUAUGAAAAAAUGAAGAACAAACUGCGCACAGAGGCUCAGGGAGCCGAUACAGUGGUGUGG